CCUACGGGAGGCAGCAGUGGGGAAUCUUGCGCAAUGGGCGAAAGCCUGACGCAGCCAUGCCGCGUGAAUGAUGAAGGUCUUAGGAUUGUAAAAUUCUUUCACCGGGGACGAUAAUGACGGUACCCGGAGAAGAAGCCCCGGCUAACUUCGUGCCAGCAGCCGCGGUAAUACGAAGGGGGCUAGCGUUGCUCGGAAUUACUGGGCGUAAAGGGAGCGUAGGCGGAUAGUUUAGUCAGAGGUGAAAGCCCAGGGCUCAACCUUGGAAUUGCCUUUGAUACUGGCUAUCUUGAGUAUGGGAGAGGUAUGCGGAACUCCGAGUGUAGAGGUGAAAUUCGUAGAUAUUCGGAAGAACACCAGUGGCGAAGGCGGCAUACUGGCCCAUUACUGACGCUGAGGCUCGAAAGCGUGGGGAGCAAACAGGAUUAGAUACCCUGGUAGUCCACGCUGUAAACGAUGAGUGCUAGUUGUCGGCAUGCAUGCAUGUCGGUGACGCAGCUAACGCAUUAAGCACUCCGCCUGGGGAGUCGGUCGCAAGAUUAAAACUCAAAUGAAUUGACGG
rnacentral:rRNA from 1 species